AUGUUUACUUUUGGGGAAGGUAUUAUAAAGAAUCUUACCAAAGGAAAGGGUGACCCAUCGGCGAUUUUUUCUUUCAACAUCAAUGGGUAUUCUGUGUUGCACACGGCGGCAUGUUUUGCACAACUGGAUGUUUGCAAGUAUUUGGUGGAGGAGCUUAAUGGAGAUGUAAAUGCUCCUGGAUAUGGAGGUGCAACUCCAUUUAUGUUGUCAGCCUCGUCUGAUGAUGUUGCUACAGUCAAGUAUUUUCUUGAUCAUGGUGGUGAUAUAUUGAAAGCAGAUGACAAAGGACGCACAGUUCUCCACCAUGCUGUGGCUGCAGGAUGCUGCAACGUGACAGAGUUCCUCCUUUCAAAAGGAGUUCCAAUCGACAUAAACUAUGGCCGUGGAACACCAGCAUUUGUGGCUGCUGCAAAUGGGAAGGAUAACACACUGAAGAUUUUGUUGGAUCACAACGCAAAUGUAUAUUGCCUUCACUUUUUUUAUUUCUCUUGA
rnacentral:rRNA from 1 species